rnacentral:tRNA from 1 species
GUCCCUGUAGCGCAAUGGAUAGCGUGUUGGACUGCUAAUCCAAAUGUUGUGGGUUCGAAUCCCACCUGGGAUU